rnacentral:misc_RNA from 1 species
GACGAGAUGGAGUCUGGAGAGAGAUAAGGAGGUGAUGAGGCUGAUGAUGAAGAAGAUGUUGAAGAUAAGGAUAUUGCAGUUGGUGAUGGUGAACACAAAGACGAUGAAGACAACAUAGAAGAAGAAUCUAGUUGGUUAGUUCCACAAUUGUCUCUCUUUACAAACAUAGAAUCAGGAAAGACUCUAGAGAUACCUGACUUCGUUGAAAAGACAAAAUCCCUCAUAUUAUUCCCCGAUACAAAUUUU